GACGAACGCUGGCGGCGUGCUUAACACAUGCAAGUCGAACGGUGAAGCUCCAGCUUGCUGGAGUGGAUCAGUGGCGAACGGGUGAGUAACACGUGAGCAACCUGCCCCUGACUCUGGAAUAAGCGCUGGAAACGGCGUCUAAUACUGGAUACGAGAAGGGUCCGCAUGGGCACCUUCUGGAAAGUUUUUCGGUUGGGGAUGGGCUCGCGCCCUAUCAGCUUGUUGGUGAGGUAAUGGCUCACCAAGGCGACGACGGGUAGCCGGCCUGAGAGGGCGACCGGCCACACUGGGACUGAGACACGGCCCAGACUCCUACGGGAGGCAGCAGUGGGGAAUAUUGCACAAUGGGCGAAAGCCUGAUGCAGCGACGCCGCGUGAGGGAUGACGGCCUUCGGGUUGUAAACCUCUUUCAUCAGGGAAGAAGCGAAAGUGACGGUACCUGCAGAAGAAGCACCGGCUAACUACGUG
rnacentral:rRNA from 1 species